rnacentral:rRNA from 1 species
GACGUAGGGCGCGAGCGUUGUCCGGAUUUAUUGGGCGUAAAGAGCUCGUAGGCGGCUUGUCGCGUCGACUGUGAAAACCCGUGGCUCAACCAUGUGGUCUGCAGUCGAUACGGGCAGGCUAGAAUUCGGUAGGGGAGAGUGGAAUUCCUGGUGUAGCGGUGAAAUGCGCAGAUAUCAGGAAGAACACCCGUGGCGAAGGCGGCUCUCUGGGACGGUACUGACGCUGAGACGCGAAAGCGUGGGGAGCGAACAGG